rnacentral:rRNA from 1 species
UACGUAGGGCGCAAGCGUUGUCCGGAAUUAUUGGGCGUAAAGAGCUCGUAGGCGGCUUGUCACGUCGGGUGUGAAAGCCCGGGGCUUAACCCCGGGUCUGCAUUCGAUACGGGCUAGCUAGAGUGUGGUAGGGGAGAUCGGAAUUCCUGGUGUAGCGGUGAAAUGCGCAGAUAUCAGGAGGAACACCGGUGGCGAAGGCGGAUCUCUGGGACGGUACUGACGCUGAGGCGCGAAAGCGUGGGGAGCAAACAGG